GUCUUUUUGUUAAUAUUAGAAGGUCUGUCCUGCUCACUGAAAUUUAAAUGGCCGCGGUAUUAUGACCGUGCAAAGGUAGCAUAAUCAUUAGUCUCUUAAUUGGAGACUGGUAUGAAUGGUUUGACGAGAAAUUAACUGUCUCUUAAUAAGUAGUAUAAUUUAACUUUUGAGUUAAAAGGCUUAAAUUUAUCUUAAGGACGAGAAGACCCUAUAGAGCUUUACAUAUUAAUUUUACAUAUUUUUGGGUUAUAUAUAUUUUAUGUUUAAUGUUUAUGUUUUGUUGGGGUGACAUGAAUAAUAAUUAAACUUUUCAUUAUUAAAUCAUUGAUUUAUGUUUUUUUGAUCCAUAAUUUAUGAUCAAAAGAUUAAGUUACCUUAGGGAUAACAGCGUAAUUAUUUUUGAGAGUUCAUAUCGACAGAAUAGAUUGCGACCUCGAUGUUGGAAGUAAGAUAAAUUUUGGGUGUAGAUGCUCAUUAAUUGGGUCUGUUCGACCCUUAAAUUCUU
rnacentral:rRNA from 1 species